UGGGUUUUUUUUUGUGAAUUGGCGAAUAUUUUUGACGGAGAUAUGGCACAUGCGGGAUUGCACCAAAAAAAUUAACAAUUGUUCGCUCGUGGUGUAGGCCACAUGUCAGCACAGGGAGCAGCAUUUGCCGCAGUUGUCUCAAAUGGGAGCAGUUGAAUUUACCUGUCGGAGCUUGUUAACGGCGGGGUUUGGAGAAAAACAACAUUAGUUGUACAUAAAUUCAGUGGGUCAUUACUCAGGUGUUCUAGAAUGAUCCGGCUAAGUGACUGGAAAGGAAAUGAUUUCCACUAAAUUUCAGCAGCAAAAACAUGCUGGCUACUGUCCUCAUCUCAUCAUGUCACGAAACUUUUCCUAUUCAGGCAAUACGAGCCACUCUCGCAGAUCCCACCAUCGAUUUUUCCCGUGCACCUUCGUCUUCUUCUUGCAGCGAAAAAAACGACGACGGCGGGCACCAAACGGCAAAAGCGCGCUGCUGCUGCUAGUGGUAGCGUUUGCCCCGUUCAUUCGUUCUCCAGGGGGUUCUAUUCAUCACACAAUAUAUGUGCUCAGCGCCAAUACAUACACAAUGCGAAUGGCGACGAAGCGCUGCCAGCUUUGCGAAUAUAAUUUUGUUGAAUGAAUAUCAAAAGUUUGAAAAUAUCAUUCGUUCACAGCAAUACAAUGCGACAAUCCAAUCCCUCUACACUAUUGGCGUGUCGAAUAGUAUCGUCUUCUAUCCGUCAGCCAACCGAUCGAUGCGACUUGCCGUUCAGUGUCGCCUCAAUGGAACCUAACGACCUAACCCUUUCAAUACGGCAGUGUGCUCCGCCGGAGUGCUACCGCUGUACGGGGCACUGCGCCGAAAAAUGUGCACAUCGCGCUGGUGUGAUCGAUGUGCAGUAUCACUCUCAUGUCGUCUAAAGACGACGCUCGUACACACAGCUCAUCGCACGUCGUCUAUAGACGACGUCCGUAGCGAAAGGGUUAAUGUUUCAACGUGCGUGUAACCGAUAAUAUGCGGAACCAGUGACAGUGAGGAUGAUAAAUAUUUAACGGUAUCAGUGUUGAAAUUACGACUGAAGCUGAUCACCUUAACUAUCCUUAAGUGUGGGACACUCCCUCAUGGUGUGAUGUCGAAGAAAUUCAGUUGGAUGAGUCAGUCAACAUUCGUGGGAUCUCACAACACAAACUAUGACAAAUAUGAUUCAGGGCGAUUUUCACGUAAAAAAAAUCGAUAUAAUAGUUUCAGCCAAGCAGUUACACGCGUUUAGUCUCCACAAACUUUCACGGAUCAGCAGAGCUUCAACGUGAACUUUUUUUUUUCUAUUAUAGUGACUUUCAACACAUUUCGGCUGGUUCGUCACUUUUACUUCCAUUUUUGGAAGAAUGUCGGGAGUGAGAAUUGAACUCGUGAUCUCUGCGUGAGAGGUAUGGAUGUUACCACUACGCCAGAUCGCCUCCUCAGCGUGAACUUUACAUGCUUCGAUAUUUGAGCGAGCUUCCUUGAUUUUUUAGGAUUCAUCUUAUCAAAGAAUUGCUUCGUUGUCAAUCUUCCAUUAACUUUUAAACUUCCAAGCAAGAAAAUGUUUCUAAAGGUCCAUAACCUGUCAGUAGAGCGACAAGAAUUAAACAAUUAGUUUUUAUGAACCUCAUCUUAGACGGCACUAACGUUUAUAAAAGAACUUGGUCUUCUAAUGAAGCGAUCUGGCGUGGUUAACAUCGGUAUCUAUCACGCUCAAGGUCACGAGUUCAAUUCUCUCUGCCGACAUUCGUCGCUAAAUGAAAGUAAACAAAAUAUUUUGAUCGUUUGAGUUACGAUCCAGUCGAUAGGCUGAACGUUACUGUAAUACAGCAAAAGAAAACUUCGCCUUCUCCAGCUAGUAUUGCUGGCGAGUUCGAAAAUACGCGUAUAGUCCGACCAGUGCAAGUCGGAAGAACUUUCUUUGACAAAUAAAUUUCCUAUCUAAACGAGUCCCAUAGCGAUAGGUGACAUGUGAAAUGAAUCACUAACCCUUCAAUAAUUUUUUUUAAAUGAAAAUUUUCCCUAUUCAAAUACUUUGAUGUACUAAUAAAUCAAGAGACUUCGAACUUCGAUGCAAUAUCAAAUUUUACUGGUUUAUUAGAAUCUUUGCCAGUAAAACCCUCGUUGGAUUUGUCCCUUCAACCGAAUUACGGGUGAUUUUGAAGGCCUUCCGGUGGUGGGUACAGAUUCUCAAAUACAUCGAAUUAAAUUUGAGGAAAACCAAACUAACGGGGGUUACGCCGUCAAUUGUAUUGAUAAAGAGACCUUGUGUUAUCAAUCAAUUUCUUAGAUCUCUAGCAAAAAUUAGACACAUUUGUCAUUUUUAUUGAAUCGGCUUUUUUUUAUUCUUUAUUUGAGAGGUUUUUAGCCUCCUAGGCUGGUUCGCCUCUUUAUCGACGGCAGCUAAAGUUACCGUAAUAUAAAAUAAAUAAGACAUUUUACAUAAAGUUACAUUCAAUUUGCACUUUUCUUUUUACGGAGUCUUAAUACUGUCUGUUUUUGUUUUAAUUAUUCUCUUGGAUGCGGUUGUAGGCUUGGAUGUGCGUCUUCCAUGGCUCCAGGCCAGUAAGGGGACGCCCGUGCUGUCCGGAGACUCCGGGGGUUCUUAUUCCCCUUGUCGCGAAGGGGAAGGAACUGUGAUCUCCGGGUUGAAAAAAGAGGUUAUCGCAGAAAUUCGGUUCUCUGCAUGUACAUCAUUUUGUUGUUUUCGCAUUUCUUGGCCCGCGAUUGGAUGUCCGAGGGCUGGUAGACGGUCGGGCUGUUUGUUUGUUGACCACACUUUACGUCCAAUGUCCUUAGGUGGUUCGCUGGAUGGAGAAUCUAUUUUCCGUUUGUUAGAUGGUAUGUCAUGGGCGGAGCGAUGGUUUUUAACCGAGUGGGGCGGUGUAUUGGCGUGGACGGUGAGGGUGUUUCUCGUAGGAAGGGAUUCUGUUCGUCCGCAUCACUGUUGGCAUCUGAGCAGAUGUCCAGCCUGGUGUCUUGAAAAGUUGAAUCCUCCUUUUCUUCUGCAAUGGGUUCCAGAGCACGAACAAUUGUGGCCGGCGGAGUGGAAAUCUGCGUGUUUGUUGUAGGUGUGAGAAUUGGUCUGGCGGACUGCACUGUACCGGAUGUUUCGAUGCCGCUGGUUCGAGUCGACUGGGAUCUGGCGACGACGAUUUCCUUUUGUAGUGUGUCGAUGGUUUGGUCUCUCUGGGUCAAACGCUGCUCCAGAGCCACAAGGGUGUAGGUCAACUGGUCCAUUCUAGAGACUAACGGUCUGAAAACCUCUUCGUUUUUGGCAGCUUCUGCGCGCUGCGUUUCACAGAGGCAGCCAUAUUAGCGAUAAUUGUGUCUGUUUGUGCGAUUGCUUCCAUUAAUUCAUUGAUUCUUUGGUCCGUGAUUGCUUCGUGAGUCACCGUAUAAUCUGGUC